rnacentral:tRNA from 1 species
AGUGGUUAAGAGCUUGGCUGCUAACCAAAAGGUUGGUGGUUCGAAUCCACCAGCUGCUC